rnacentral:rRNA from 1 species
AUUGAACGCUGGCGCAUGCCUUACACAUGCAAGUCGAACGGUAACAGGUCUUCGGAUGCUGACGAGUGGCGAACGGGUGAGUAAUACAUCGGAACGUGCCCGAUCGUGGGGGAUAACGCAGCGAAAGCUGUGCUAAUACCGCAUACGAUCUACGGAUGAAAGCGGGGGAUCGCAAGACCUCGCGCGGACGGAGCGGCCGAUGGCAGAUUAGGUAGUUGGUGGGAUAAAAGCUUACCAAGCCGACGAUCUGUAGCUGGUCUGAGAGGACGACCAGCCACACUGGGACUGAGACACGGCCCAGACUCCUACGGGAGGCAGCAGUGGGGAAUUUUGGACAAUGGGCGCAAGCCUGAUCCAGCCAUGCCGCGUGCAGGAUGAAGGCCUUCGGGUUGUAAACUGCUUUUGUACGGAACGAAAAAGCUCUCUCUAAUACAGGGGGUGAAUGACGGUACCGUAAGAAUAAGCACCGGCUAACUACGUG